rnacentral:tRNA from 1 species
GUUUCUGUGGUUGAGUAUGCCUUCAACGACGGUUUUUCAAGCCGUAGACCUUGGAGAAAAGCCAAGCAGAAAUU